AUGAAGUUCUCUCUCCUGCCUCAGUGGAUAAGGAUUCAAAGAAGGAGCAGUUUUAAGCUGCAUUUUUGCCAUGUUCUGUUGAGGAUCUCUAGAGGUUCAGUUGAUCACCCACCCGCAUCUAAGCACAGAUUCCAGUCCUUGUCCGUAGAGGAAAACAGUGAUCCAUUGCUUACCAAAAUUUGUCAGAUCCUAUCAAUGAGGGAAGUCUGCUCUGAGUUCUUCAAAAGCAUGCCUUCUACAUCUUAUGGACAUGGACUCACAUGGUCUUGUGAUGGUACAUCUGCAGCUGGUGUGAAUUAAAAUUGCUUCAGACCUCAAGAAUCAAAGAAGAAUUCAAAAUUAUUCUGCUAUAUAGUCACACUCACGGAUAUAAUUAAAGGUCUGUCAGCACUUUCAUUACAUAAAGCCAUUUUUAAGCAGUUCAUAAGUUGGCUAUGACAUUUUGCUUAAAGCUGGAAAUGGGCUGUGAGUUUCCUGCCCAGGAGUGAAGUUUUGUUUCUUAUAAAUGUAAUUGGAAUCAGACUAUAUUCCUGUGUUUUUCAUCCAUGACAAAGGGGUUAAAGAACAUUAUCUGUUUUUUAUAUUCCUCCCACACGCACAAAAUAGCUCUGUACUUCAGUUUGGUACCUUGCAGAUAAUUAGGCUCCAAAAAUAUUUAGGCAGAUCUAAGGCAUGAGCUAGAUCACUGUCCUACAAUCAAGCAAACCAGUUAAUACAUUACUAUGGCAUGGUUUUGGACCAUGACAGUUGGAGCUUUCCCAGUGUUCAGGGGCACCUUGAGGAAUUUCACAAUCCCAGAAUGGUUUGCAUGCAGUUAUGCCAUCUUGGACAUUUGGGGGAAGUGAUAACUCAUACAUAAACUAUGCUGAGAACACUCCCACAUGAUUUUCUAUUCAUUUAUAGGUGUCAAAUAGAUGUCUGUUUUAUUUGCCAGUACAGACCUAGUCUUAGUAUAAUACACAGAGACAGAGUGAUCCAAAAUGUUUCCAUUCCAGCAUGUGCUCACCAUGCUAUCUGGUAUGUCGUUGUGAAGAAUCAUUUUAAGAUGUCAAUUUGGUUUGAAUUUAAUUCUAAAUAAGAAGAAAUCAAUUUUUAUAGCAGUCUCCAAAGACACAAAUAAAUAAAUAAAUAAAUCUCA
rnacentral:lncRNA from 1 species